rnacentral:rRNA from 1 species
AGAGUUUGAUCCUGGCUCAGGACGAACGCUGGCGGCGUGCCUAAUACAUGCAAGUAGAACGCUGAAGAGAGGAGCUUGCUCUUCUUGGAUGAGUUGCGAACGGGUGAGUAACGCGUAGGUAACCUGCCUUGUAGCGGGGGAUAACUAUUGGAAACGAUAGCUAAUACCGCAUAACAAUGGAUGACUCAUGUCAUUUAUUUGAAAGGGGCAAAUGCUCCACUACAAGAUGGACCUGCGUUGUAUUAGCUAGUAGGUGAGGUAACGGCUCACCUAGGCGACGAUACAUAGCCGACCUGAGAGGGUGAUCGGCCACACUGGGACUGAGACACGGCCCAGACUCCUACGGGAGGCAGCAGUAGGGAAUCUUCGGCAAUGGGGGCAACCCUGACCGAGCAACGCCGCGUGAGUGAAGAAGGUUUUCGGAUCGUAAAGCUCUGUUGUAAGUCAAGAACGAGUGUGAGAGUGGAAAGUUCACACUGUGACGGUAGCUUACCAGAAAGGGACGGCUAACUACGUGCCAGCAGCCGCGGUAAUACGUAGGUCCCGAGCGUUGUCCGGAUUUAUUGGGCGUAAAGCGAGCGCAGGCGGUUUGAUAAGUCUGAAGUUAAAGGCUGUGGCUCAACCAUAGUUCGCUUUGGAAACUGUCAAACUUGAGUGCAGAAGGGGAGAGUGGAAUUCCAUGUGUAGCGGUGAAAUGCGUAGAUAUAUGGAGGAACACCGGUGGCGAAAGCGGCUCUCUGGUCUGUAACUGACGCUGAGGCUCGAAAGCGUGGGGAGCGAACAGGAUUAGAUACCCUGGUAGUCCACGCCGUAAACGAUGAAUGCUAGGUGUAGGGGGUAUCGACCCCUUCUGUGCCGGAGUAAA